GACGAACGCUGGCGGCGUGCUUAACACAUGCAAGUCGAACGGGCUCUGUCUGGCUGUGUGCUGUGUGGGGGUAGUGGCGAACGGGUGAGUAAUACGUGAGUAACCUGCCCUCUUCUUUGGGAUAAGCCUUGGAAACGGGGUCUAAUACUGGAUAUUCCUGUCUGGUUGCAUGGCUGGGUGGGGAAAGUUUUUUUCGGUGGGGGAUGGGCUCGCGGCCUAUCAGCUUGUUGGUGGGGUGAUGGCCUACCAAGGCGUCGUCGGGUAGCCGGCAUGAGAGGGUGACGGGCUGCACUGGUGCUGAGAUACGGCCCAGACGCCUACGGGAGGAAGCAGUGGGGGAUAGUGGACGAUGGGCGCAAGCCUGAUGGAGCGACGCCGCGUGGGGGAUAACGGGUUUCGGGUUGUAAACCUCUUUCGUCGGGGGACAAGGCUCUGCUUGGUGGUGGGGUUGAGGGUACCCGGUGAAGAAGCGCCGGCUAACUACGUG
rnacentral:rRNA from 1 species